rnacentral:lncRNA from 1 species
CUAUCACUCCAUCGUAAUACAAAAUACAUUCAGCCCCAUUCCCCGAUUCUGUUUCCAACUCUCUAUUACCUCGUUUCACAACCCAUUAUUAAAGACAGUCCUCUCUCCUCUUUGUGUCAUUGUUGAUCUACCAUCUCAGUGUCGAUUUGUAGAAAUGGGAUUGUGAUCUACCCUCAAUUUCUUAAUUCCACAAAAAAAAUUACAAAAGAGGGCAAAGCCCUAGCUAAUUCUUCACUCGCAAUUGGUAGUUAAGAUUCUGAAUGAAAAUUUUGUAAUCUUCCUUCUUUCUUUCUUUUUUUCUUUAUUUCUUUUUUUCUUUAUCUUUCUCUCUUGUUCUGAAUGCAAAUUUUGUAUUAGAAAUUUGGGCUAGGCUUUGGUGUCAUAGAAGGUGGAGGAAUAAAAAUAAGGUUGCAGCAGCAGCGGCGACAACAAUGGGGAAGGCAAUGAAGUUCCCAGGAAUUAGUGAGGGCGUUCAAAAGCUGUUAGAUGUUGACAUGGACCAAGUGGUUGCAAGGCGCUGUGCUUGCGAGGUGUUUAAGGAUAUUCAACUCUCUAUUGAUCAUUGUUUUUUCAGGUUAAUUUUCCAAACACAAAGUUUGAAUCUUGUUUUGUGCAUUAGAUUUGGCAUGUUCAUUUUUGAUUAUUUUUUAUUUUUGGUUAUUAUGUACUUGUCCAAAUUUGUUAGAUUUUUCAUUACUGGUAAAAUUACUAAUCAUGCGUCCAAGCAUUCUUGUAUUAAAUAUUGUUUGGGUUGACUAUUUUGUCUUUCUAUACAUCCUUGUGGGUUGUUGGAUUAAUAGUUUUGUAAAAGGAAAAUGCAACUUGAAACAGGUUGGUGGUAAUUGUUCAUUGAACUUUAUUUAAGGACUAAUAAAAAAAUGUUUUUCCCCUACCUAGUAGAUCAAAAUUUAUUAUGAAAGUGGAUUUUUUUGUACUGCUAAGUGAUAGCUGAUUGUGUAUUAUUUAGUAUUAUGUCAAUCAACUUCAACCAAUUGGAAUUAUGUAUUAUUAUCGCUCUUGCAAUUUUUGGUGAUUUCUACAACCAAUAUCAUCAUAAUCAUUAUAUUUGUUAUUUCCUCUGAACUUUUUCUCUUUUCUAAGAGUAGUAUUUUUAGUAAAAGCUUAAGUAGAGAGUUAGAAGGAGCUGGCAGUAUAAGACAAGUAUAGCUACUAUAGACUCCUCAACUCAGCAGUACAGUUCGUAACAAGCAAGAAAGGAAGGAAGAGUAAAAAAAACUCAAGCUCCUAUAUUCUGUCCUUUCCCUGUUCAGUUGCACUCGCCUCCUCCUAUAUCCAUUUUCAGUUCCUUCAAUCGGAUAGCAUGAGGAAAUUUCAUGAUUUAUGAGGGAUAACUGAAGUUGAGUAUAAGAGAUAAUAAAAAAUCAUAACCAAUAAGGGAUAGGUAUUGUAAUAUAUCAUUAUUACACUUGUUUACUCAAGCAUGCCAAACAUGAACAAAUAAGUAAAUAUAUGACUUGCUAGUAAUUUGAUUAAGUCCAUGUGCGACGGAUUGUGUAAUACAGUGUAAACAUUGGAUGUCAAGUAUGCUUAAUAAUGGAGAUUGCUAUAUUGUAGAGUUAUGUGUUUAUAAAUGGAAUUAAAAUAAAAGGAAAGUAAAUUAGUUAGUUUGUUAAUUACUUGGCUAUACAUAAAUUUGAUUAUGUAAGGGACUGUUAUGGCUGGAAUUAGAGUGAAGGAGAUACGUUGGUUGUAUGGGGAUAUAAGAGAGUUAAAAUGGGUUUGUGGCAUAAACAAAUAGCUAUGACACAAUUGUUGCAAAACAGUGCACACUAGGUAUUUGUUAAAAGCUCUAAAUGGAUUUUUUUGCUUAAAAAUUGAUUAUUAGAUGGAAUCAAGGCUUGGGAUAGAUUGAUAUUCCAUAUAUGAAGUUAAACAAAGAGUUUUGUCAUACUAAAUUGUAAUGAAAAGCAAUUUUAAGUUAAAACAAAAAGUUGGAAUUUGGUAUGUCGAGUUACUUUUGCACACUAUUUUGGACAACUCUAACUGAGGCUUGCCAAAAGAAUUGAUCCUUUUGAAGCAAAGAGUUGCUUGAGUCCCAUUUUUAAUCUUCAAUAUACUUAGUGUUCCCUUACAAUUCCUGAUGUCAUACCAGUUGAGAUCAGAUAGAUGUGAUGAAUUUGAAUCAACCAAGGUAGACUAGGUAUGUUUUGUACUAUUGUUUUCUAAUAUUCUAUCUAGGAAAGUAUUACAUUAAUAGUAAAUGAAUCCCUGGAUCAUUUGUUUAUCUAUAGGUUAAUGAAAUUAUCUGUUUGAACUACACUACUAACAUCUGGGUGUCUAAAACUGAAACUUAAUUCUGAUUAAACCAACUUUCUGAUAAGACUAGCAGCUACCUUAUAUUAUGUUAGAUUUCAACAUAUCCCUAGUUGUAUUACUUCAAUAGAUGUAAUAGGAUUAUUGAGAAUCAUUUUUUGAUUAUUUCUAUUUUGGACUUGAAUUUUUCUGACAUUUUUUUUCUUAGAAUAAAAUUGAAAGCUUGAUGUGACUUCUUACAUUACUUGGCUAUAGUUAUAGUUGGAUAAAUUUAUUGAAGUUUUUUCUUAUCUUGAGUACUUCUUUUCCGUGACAGUUUUGUUGAAGUUUUCUCUUUGUGCACCUUAUAAGUUCUUGAUAUUCAUUUUAGUUGUUUCAGAUUCUACUGACUAAUAACAUAUGUUGUUCGGACCUAGUAACUAGAUGUUCAAGUUCUUAGUUCUUACUUGAAUGUGUACUGGAGACACCUUGUAUCUAAGAUAUCGUGCGAAGGAGAUAAACUAAUAGGACAACUAGUUGAAAAAAUUGUAAGAAACAAGUUAACACUUAACAAGACCUUUAGCAUGUAUUAAGUCUUAUUUAGUCAAGCGAAUUGCAUAUAUAUAUUUUUUUAAAUCAGUUUUUUAUCUCUUCUUGCAAGUGUUGGUUUUCAUCCAAAUUUAGAAAAUGAAUCUACUUAAAUAGUAUUGAGGUCUUUGAUUCUAUAGUUUCAAUAUCUCUCUUAAUUUUGUCAGUUUGAAAAUUCUACGAUAUACAGAAAUUAGCUUUAAGAAGUUGUAGCAUAAUCUAGUGUUGGUUCCGUCUUACUUUUUAUGUUCUUAUUCCACCUCAAUAAUAAGACAGCAUAUAAUUUAGUCUUAUACUAGGUGUGAAUCAUUUUUUUUCUAGUUACAUGUAUAUAGGUUUAAGCCUUUUCACUAUGUUGUCCAUAACUGUUGCUUAGUAAUUUAUUACCUUGAUCAUGCCAUGUAAGGAAUGUCCUAAGCUAAAAAUUUGAGCUUGCAUGUUUAUAAUGUAGUUCAUGGGAGUGUAGACUUGCUGAGAGCCUAAAAUAUUAUAUUGAAUUAGUGGGCGUAAUAUUAUAUCUAGGACAAUGAAAAUUCAGAGUCCAGGGUUUAUAGUUUUAUGGUCUUUAUUUCAAUUUUUUUUCCUUAAGCGGUUAAAACAUAGUUCUUGUUAAAUAUAUUUUGUUGUAAUUUUUUUUAGCAUGGAUUAUGUCUUAAGUUCUUGAUAUCCCAAAUCUAUUUUGUUGCUACUUGCCUGAGGAACCAAUAUAGCAGAAAUGAUGGGGGAGCAGAAUUACAGCAUGUUUGAAAUGAAUAAAAGCUGUUAAUACAAAGCAGUCAUGCUUGUCUUUUACCUUUUUCAUCCCCAGCUACAUCUGAAACUUUAGGCUGUGUUUGUGAGUUUUGUUUUAGAGGGAUGGAACGGAAAGGAAAGCAAAAGUUUUUACUUUUAGUUCUUUGAAAGAAGAACUUUUCAUUUUGAUCCCUUCCUUUUCUCCCCAAAAAAAGGUUACAAACUGGGGGUUUAUGUGAAUUUUAAUUUGGAGGAGAGGGAAGGGAAGGGAUGAGAAGGAAAAGUUGUUCCUUCCAAUUUUUUUGUAGAUAGAAAACUUUUUCUUUCAUCUUUUCCCUUCAUCCCAACUUAAAACUCACAAACAGGCUAUUAAGUACUUGUAAUUACUAUGGGCUUUUCAACUAAGUACAUAUUUUGUAUGGAUCUUAUCCAUUACAAUCUCUAAUUUUUCUCAAUAAACAUUCAGUGAAAGAAAUAUUGGUUUUCUCAAUAAAUAUUCAGUGAACCAGUUUAAUAACUUGUUUUUUUAUUUUUUUAGUAGAUGCAACUGGUAGGUUUGUAUGAUAAUGAUUGUAUCACAUAUAACAUAUCAAGAUUUCUUAAUAAAUUAAGAAAUGAAGCUUUGCAAGGCAAGGUGCAGGGCUACUGCCUCGGCAGCAGCAGUGGGCUUGAAUGGCAUUGGCUGGGAGCUCUUCAUGGGCUUUCAUAGGCUUUGGGCAAGGAAAAGGGGCUGCUGCCCAUGCGCAGCAGCAGUUGACAGCCGUGGACAGUUUUGGGUGUGGAUUAUUUUAACUCUAUGUUGUAGUAUGAAGAUCUAACCAUAAGAAUUAGUUUUAAAACUUCCUAAAUCACUGAUGGUAUUGAAGUUACUAAAAUUUGGUAAUGCAGUUUCAGUUUUGAAUUUUGAUAUUCAUUUGCCUUAUGAUUUUUUAUUGUUUUUUAAUUCCCAACUCGAAUGAUGUUUUUAUGUAUGCAGGUACAUUAGAGAGACUAGCUGACAAAUUUGAUCAAUUCAAACUCUCCGAUCAGUGUAAUUUCUUUUUCCUUUGUCUUUUGGUAAGGAAAGAUGUAGAAGUUUUAUGAUUAUAUGCAUCAAUCAUGUCAUUGCAUAAAUUUGAAAUCACAUGAUAGUUUUAUAUACCAUGGUACCUUUGACAAAAGCAUGAUGUUCUCUAGGAAUCCCAUAUAACAAAAAUAGAUCAUGAAUUAUGGAGUAUAAUAGUACCCUAACUACUUCUCCAAAACUGGUGGGAUUAAAAAAAAAAGAUACUUGGUUUUUCAGGAUAUCGUGCACUAGACUUGCUCGGUCCUCCUCCUACAGUGCCGCCGAGUAUAUGUUAUUCUUCACCGCAACAAUCUACUAAUCCUAAGGAAUUGGAGAAUAUGAUUGAUAAGAUUGUCCUCCUUCGAUUUGGUAUAAAUUUUAUGGAUGAUGCAUCUACUAAUGAUAGUACACCAUAGCCAUCCAUUGGUAUGGAUAUUAAUGAACAUAUAACUAAAUUGGUAGAGACGAAAUUUACCCGCUUCCUUCAAACAUUUACCAGCUAUGAAUCAGUUGAGGUAUUUACUAAUAGCUAUAUUUUUGUCUUUGUUCUUCAUUAAUCUCUCUCUCCCUAUUAAUUUAAGUUCAUCAGGUUCAUUUUUUCUUAUUCCUCAUCCUUAUUGAAAUUGAAUUUUGGUGUUUCUUUUGCAAUAGGAAGUUUACAGGUCCAACCUUGAUUUCCUUGAAGAAAAUGAUGAUGAAGUGGACCUAAUACACUUCAUUCCUUCUAGUUUGUUGUUAUUCUUUCAGUUUUCUUAUGUUAGUUAUUAAAUAUUGUAAGUACUAUGAUCCUUGGGAGAUCAAGAUAUAAUAACAAAUUCUGUACUUACCGUGACUCGAGUAUUAUCUAUUUAUAUAUGGAGUAUUAGUUUUAAUUAUUG